rnacentral:misc_RNA from 1 species
GAAAUGCGAUAAGUAGUGUGAAUUGCAGAAUUCAGUGAAUCAUCGAAUCUUUGAACGCACAUUGCGCCCCUUGGUAUUCCAUGGGGCAUGCCUGUUCGAGCGUCAUUUACACCCUCAAGCUUUGCUUGGUGUUGGGCGUCUUGUCUCCUUCUGGAGACUCGCCCCAAAGGCAUUGGCAGCGGUCCUGCCGGGCCCCUAAUCGCGCAGCACUGUUCGCGUCUCCUGGAGCCCGUGCGGAUUCGGCGUCCAUCAAGCCCAAUCUUUCUGAACUUGACCUCGAAUCAGGUAGGGAUACCCGCUGAACUUAAGC